UUCCAUCGAUGAGUUCUCAUCCGAGGUACUUUUAGUUUAGUUUCUUUGAAAAAUAAAUAAAAUUUAAGUAUUUAAUAAAUGACAAUAAAAUAAUACUAAUUGAUAAUGUUGCUGUUAUGGAAAGCAUGCUUGAAAGUCUUUUCACCUGGUAACCAUCAAAUCCACAACCAUAUAUUAUAAUUUUAUAUGCAUACAGUAAACAAAUAAGAAGGGGCUUCAUGUCUUCAUUUUGUUACCUUUCCUCAUUUCCUGUGUAGAGAGAACCAUAAUCUCUUGCUCUCUCUGUGGUUGUUUCUUUCCUCCCAUAACUUUUCUCUUUCAGCGACAUCCUUCUUUUUUUUUUGAAACACUCAGAGACAUCCUUCUUGUAGGAUUCUUU
rnacentral:lncRNA from 1 species